UACGUAGGGGGCUAGCGUUAUCCGGAUUUAUUGGGCGUAAAGAGCGCGUAGGCGGCUUGCUAAGUCAGAUGUGAAAACCGGGGGCUUAACCCGCGGCCUGCAUCUGAAACUGGCAGGCUUGAGUCUGGUAGAGGAAAGUGGAAUUCCUAGUGUAGCGGUGAAAUGCGCAGAUAUUAGGAGGAACACCAGUGGCGAAGGCGGCUUUCUGGGCCACGACUGACGCUGAGGCGCGAAAGCUAGGGGAGCAAAC
rnacentral:rRNA from 1 species